rnacentral:rRNA from 1 species
AUGUCUGAAGAAGAAGGCUCGGCUAGUUCUACUCUUGGUACUACGAUCAUGUGGCCUGCCAUCGAGGCUCGGAUGCGCAGAGGUAGUAGUUACAAGCCGGUGGCAGCAAACCAACAACUGGCCAACGACAUGCGCACAACCAUCAACUGCCAUAAACUGGUUCCCCUGCUUGUAAACUGCUCGAUUUUCAUUGGCUUGAUGCCAAAAAUUGGUUUGCUGCCAAUCAACUGGUUCGCCAAGUGGAUGCAUCAACUGGUUCUGUCCGUUCCCACAUCAACUGGUUCUGUCCGUUCCCCUGCUUGUAAACUGCUCGAUGAAAUGCGUGACUGUUGCUUCUUUCAAUGUGGGAUCUUUCCUGUGUUGCUUGAGUCAUGA